rnacentral:rRNA from 1 species
AGUGAACGCUGGCGGCAGGCCUAACACAUGCAAGUCGAACGGCAGCACAGCAGUAGCAAUACUGUGGGUGGCGAGUGGCGGACGGGUGAGGAAUACAUCGGAAUCUACCUUGUCGUGGGGGAUAACGUAGGGAAACUUACGCUAAUACCGCAUACGACCUACGGGUGAAAGCGGAGGACCGCAAGGCUUCGCGCGAUAAGAUGAGCCGAUGUCCGAUUAGCUAGUUGGCGGGGUAAUGGCCCACCAAGGCGACGAUCGGGAGCUGGUCUGAGAGGAUGAUCAGCCACACUGGAACUGAGACACGGUCCAGACUCCUACGGGAGGCAGCAGUGGGGAAUAUUGGACAAUGGGCGCAAGCCUGAUCCAGCCAUGCCGCGUGGGUGAAGAAGGCCUUCGGGUUGUAAAGCCCUUUUGUCCGGAAAGAAAAGCAUCGGGCUAAUACCUCGGUGUUCUGACGGUACCGGAAGAAUAAGCACCGGCUAACUUCGUGCCAGCCGCCGCUGUAAUAC